CAGCAGUGCCCUGUCCAGGAGGUGACCACUUCCAUCAUCCUGUCAGUAAUGACCGAAAUGUAGCUGACCAUGGUCACCAUCCCACCCCAAUCUUAAAACGCUGUGGGGUUUUUGUAUUUUGUGUUAGCCAUUACCCUGGUAGAGGGUGGGGGUAUAAAUGAAAUGUUGUGUUUUUGUGUCUCUUUGCUUUGUAAUGUAAUUGUCCUUCUGUCUUGUUACUGUACAGCGUUGACAUGGUUAACUUCGUGCUGGCAGGCAGU